rnacentral:rRNA from 1 species
CCUACGGGGGGCAGCAGUGGGGAAUAUUGGACAAUGGGCGAAAGCCUGAUCCAGCCAUGCCGCGUGUGUGAAGAAGGCCUUCGGGUUGUAAAGCACUUUCAGUGGGGAAGAAAGCCUUGGGGCUAAUACCCUCGAGGAAGGACAUCACCCACAGAAGAAGCACCGGCUAACUCCGUGCCAGCAGCCGCGGUAAUACGGAGGGUGCGAGCGUUAAUCGGAAUUACUGGGCGUAAAGCGCGCGUAGGCGGUCUGAUAAGCCGGUUGUGAAAGCCCCGGGCUCAACCUGGGAACGGCAUCCGGAACUGUCAGGCUAGAGUGCAGGAGAGGUAGGUAGAAUUCCCGGUGUAGCGGUGAAAUGCGUAGAGAUCGGGAGGAAUACCAGUGGCGAAGGCGGCCUUCUGGACUGACACUGACGCUGAGGUGCGAAAGCGUGGGUAGCAAACAGGAUUAGAUACCCCAGUAGUC